GACGAACGCUGGCGGCGUGCUUAACACAUGCAAGUCGAACGGAAAGGCCCUGCUUUUGUGGGGUGCUCGAGUGGCGAACGGGUGAGUAACACGUGAGUAACCUGCCCUUGACUUUGGGAUAACUUCAGGAAACUGGGGCUAAUACCGGAUAGGAGCUCCUGCUGCAUGGUGGGGGUUGGAAAGUUUCGGCGGUUGGGGAUGGACUCGCGGCUUAUCAGCUUGUUGGUGGGGUAGUGGCUUACCAAGGCUUUGACGGGUAGCCGGCCUGAGAGGGUGACCGGGCACAUGGGGACUGAGAUACGGCCCAGAGUCGUACGGGAGGCAGCAGUGGGGAAUAUUGCACAAUGGGCGGAAGCGUGAUGCAGCAGCGCCGCGUGCGGGAUGACGGCCUUCGGGUUGUAAACCGCUUUCGCCUGUGACGAAGCGUGAGUGACGGUAAUGGGUAAAGAAGCACCGGCUAACUACGUG
rnacentral:rRNA from 1 species